GGGAGCUCCGCCCGGCUCCUGUGGAGGAAGCGGCGAGGGCGAGCCGCGGGGUCUCGGCGCCUCUGUAUGCUUGCACUUAACGAGAACCCAGAGCGAACACGACCCACAUUUCUCUUUUUGUUUUAAGAGGAAAUAUAGGAGUUACAGCAUAGAAUUACAAUAUCUGGACAUUAGAAAUAACAGGUCCCGGUCACGGUAUGGCACCGCGCGACACACUUGGUCCCUGAGGCCUGGAUGCCGCUCAGCAAACGUUCGCGGAAUAGGGUUGGGUUUACUGUCCCCCACCGAGCCGGUUGCUCAUUCAUUCAGCAUAAUUGAAUACCUCCUGUGUGCCAGGCACUGAAUCAAGUGUCGGAGACAAUGUCCUGCCCUCAAGCUCCUGGCCGGUUACUUGACAACCUUCCGGGACCUCAACGCUAUGUGCCUACUGUGUGAAAGCAAAGUGCCAGGUGGAGGACACAAAGAUGGCGAGCGACACAGGAUAGUCCUUAACAAUUAAGCGUGACUAAUUUUAAUAACAAAUGAGAAUAUGAUGUGACAUCCGUUCCAAAUCCUGUCGUUCCAAGUAACUUCUUAAGCAUCUUUCACGAUACAGCCUCUGCUUGAAAGGAAUUAAAACAGGUACAAGCAUGGAAGGAGACGUUGCUAUCAUAUUUCAAGAAUAAGAAAAUGCUGUUUUGUGUGGUUGUGCAGCAGGCAAUGAAAUGAGCUUACAUUCAAGCUUCCGUGUUUUACUGAAACAACAGUCACAGAUGCAGUAGAUGUUAAAGGUUGAAAGACGAGUGCAGUAAAAGCAUUAUGAGGACAAGAAGAAAACGUAAAUAUUUGUGUUGUUUCAUUCUUUGUUGUGGUGGCAGAAACAGCCCCCUCUUUCUAAGAGUAAGGAAGGACUGAAAGGAGGAGAAACUAUGGGUUGCCUUUUCCUUCUGUCAUCUGUUCAGCAUUUCAUAGUAAAACCUUUGUUGAUUUAAUAAACAUAAUGGAUACUCAUUAAAAUAUUCAAACAGCAUAGAAAGGGACAAAGAAGAAAGCAGCCAGCAAUCCAAGUACCACUAUCCAGAAAUAGCCAGUGAUAUCUCUUUAUGUGUGGAAAUACAAUGAAAAUUGAGUGAGAGACAUACACAGAGGAAGAAGAAAAAGAGUAAGUUAUAAAAGAAGCAAUCAAACUCCAAAUGGUGCUGCAAACUGAACCCCACAUGGACACGCCAUUCUUCUGAGGACCCUUAGAUCCACCCCAGGAGGAGCCCUAGCUGCUGUUCCCCAUUCGAUGCCCCUUUUCAGCCCCAACUGGACUCCAAGUGCCACGAGAACAGAGAUUGGGUCUGGUCCCCAGCUUCAGUGCCUCCAAGGCAGAAACUCAAGAGACGUUGUUGAACUGUCAGCCUUUACAUUUAUGCAUUACUAUUGAAGGCCUGGAAUAAAUGGAUCGUGUUUUACCUGUUAUCUUGCUCAUCUCUAUUACUGCUUCAUCAGCAGCUCUUCCCAAAGCAAUAAAAUGAACAAUGGCCCCACUUUGUUUCACUUCAUCAAUACAAGAACUUGCAGUGUUAUCCUCCCCAUCAGUCAGCAGCAGUACUUCGGAUCCAUCGAGUUGGGAAUGUAGCUCUCCAAUCACCUGCAAACAUAAUGCAGAGCACAGUUACCAACAGAUGUUCCUAGAUCAAAUAGACAAAUGGGAAAUGAGAAAAAAUUUACAGAGAAAAUAAACAAAGUUAUGCAGAAUAGAAGAGAUAACCUCUAUUUUAAAAUAAAGAAUUUUCAAUCAACAAUCCUUGGGGAAAGUUAAACAUGAAUUUUUUUAACUCCCAGCUGCAGGUAGUAUUUAUUUAAAGGAAUUCGGUGGGACCAGGCUUUGGAAAAUCCUGUCUAGACUAAAUGACAAUAACAUCUCAACCUGGGAAACUCAGGUCAACCAGAUACCAAAGGUAUAAUCACAGUAUGUGACAUUAAUUAGUGUUAUGUUUUCUUUGACUGGACUACCUUCUGACAGACAAGCCUUCAGUUUAUAAAGUCUCUUGCAUUUAAAGCUAGAUGCAUUAAGAAUCCACUUCAACAUUUGAAAAAGUCAGUGAUUACAAAUUAGUAAACCCUCAGUAUGCUUAUAAAGAAAAAAUAUGGAAAGUUCUAAGCAUGUGGUUAGGGACUUUGUUAUGCAACUUUCAUUUACUUCUAAUAAUAACUGGCACAGAAGUAAGCAUAUUGGUGAUGCUUAAAGAAUAUAUUAAAAUUAUACUUAUUAAGUUCAAUUUGUAGCUUGUAUCCUUUUCCUAAAUGCCAAACAGUUUGAAACUCAAAGUUUUGAAACUAGGUGCCUGUAAAAGAGUAUAGAGAGAAGUUAGCCCAGGAUGACAACAUAUUUCAUUUUCUUUGACAGUUUUAAUUGGUGGUGGCAUCUUGGAGCACCAUUUUGAGACCUUGAUUCCAGGCCAAGAGGUGAAAAAUGACAGAUUGUCAGUGACUUUCUUUGGCAUGGAGUGAAGGUGUGUGUGUAGAUUUGCAGAAGAGGGUUUGGAAUGUAGAAAUCCCUAAGAAAGCUGGUAUCAGGGAACAAAUUGACCACGCUUAUUACAAUUUUUGCAUGUUUUGAAGCAAAGAGUGACUAAUAUAUAUAUUGCAAUAUAUGGGAAAUAUUCUCUGACAUGCCUUGAAACCGAACGGAAAGAGAGGAAAAUGCUUUUAUACAUUUAUGGCAUUUGUAGCAUCUCCAUCACACUUCUCCCACGCAUUUAAGUACAAAAUGAAGAUCCAAAGAUGAAGCAGAGUUCUCUCUUUCACCUCUCCUUUUCUUGCAUGAGUUUAUUUACCAAGCAUUUACAAUGUGCCAGUCACCGUGCUGGGGAUUCAGUAGGAACUACAUUCCUACAUUCAUAUAUUAAUAAAUAAUUGGGUUCAAUUUUACAAUGUUUAUGGAGCUUUGUGUCAGAGACUGAGGAGAUCUAGAGAUGAACAAGGAAGACAAAACUAAUAUGUAUUUACUACAGAAUAUUCUAUAGUUCAAGAGAAAUAACAGUGUAGUGUUACAGUUUACUGAACAUUCGCUAUGUAUUAACUGUGUUUUAUACAUUGUAUAAUUUAAUCCAUCUCCAAGCUCCCAAAAUGUCUUCCUAUUACCACUUUUACUGCCUACAAUUUAUUUUAUUCAGGGCAAUUGGAAUCAUCUUCCUGGAACAUAAAUUGAUUAUCAAACUCCGAUACUUUCAACCCUUCAAGAGCUUUUUGUUGUGCUUGAAACAAAAUACAAGCCUCAUAUUUUUUGAAGUUUUUUAAGAUCUAGUCAUUGUCUACCUCUCCAACCACAUUUCAUAUCCCCUCAUUUGCCAAACUCCACUGCUACUAGCUUCUAUAAUUUCUUAGAAUAAUCUAGUUUUUUCUCACCUUUUUCCUUAAGGAACUUUUGCAUUUCUUUUCUAUCUGAACCACUGGCUUCUUCUCAUCCUUCAAAUCAGAGCUUAAAUGUUACUUUUUAGAGAAGGCUCAUUGGCCUCUCUACCCAAAGUAGUUCUCCUUUCCCUGUUUCGUUUAUUCACAACACUAUCUACAUAAUCUGCAAUUCUUGUAUUUAUCUAUUUAUUAUCUGUUCCCCACUUAUAUACAUGUACCAUAAGAGUGAAAAAGCUUUGCUUGGUGAAUAGAUUAAAGCAUGUUCAUAUUUUGAAUAAAUUAAAACA
ensembl:lncRNA CLCA4-AS1 CLCA4 antisense RNA 1